rnacentral:rRNA from 1 species
AGAGUUUGAUCAUGGCUCAGAUUGAACGCUGGCGGCAUGCCUUACACAUGCAAGUCGAACGGUAACAGGUCUUCGGAUGCUGACGAGUGGCGAACGGGUGAGUAAUACAUCGGAACGUGCCCAGUAAUGGGGGAUAGCUCGGCGAAAGCCGGAUUAAUACCGCAUACGCCCUGAGGGGGAAAGUGGGGGACCGCAAGGCCUCACGUUAUUGGAGCGGCCGAUGGCUGAUUAGCUAGUUGGUAGGGUAAAGGCCUACCAAGGCGACGAUCAGUAGCUGGUCUGAGAGGACGAUCAGCCACACUGGGACUGAGACACGGCCCAGACUCCUACGGGAGGCAGCAGUGGGGAAUAUUGGACAAUGGGGGAAACCCUGAUCCAGCAAUGCCGCGUGAGUGAUGAAGGCCUUAGGGUUGUAAAGCUCUUUUACCAGGGAUGAUAAUGACAGUACCUGGAGAAUAAGCUCCGGCUAACUCCGUGCCAGCAGCCGCGGUAAUACGUAGGGUGCAAGCGUUAAUCGGAAUUACUGGGCGUAAAGCGUGCGCAGGCGGUUGUGUAAGACAGGUGUGAAAUCCCCGGGCUUAACCUGGGAAUUGCAUUUGUGACUGCACGACUAGAGUGUGUCAGAGGGGGGUGGAAUUCCACGUGUAGCAGUGAAAUGCGUAGAUAUGUGGAGGAACACCAAUGGCGAAGGCAGCCCCCUGGGAUAACACUGACGCUCAUGCACGAAAGCGUGGGGAGCAAACAGGAUUAGAUACCCCGGUAGUCC